UGGGGAAUAUUGCACAAUGGGCGCAAGCCUGAUGCAGCCAUGCCGCGUGUUGUGAAGAAGGCCUUCGGGUUGUAAAGCACUUUCAGCGAGGAGGAAGGUGGUGAACUUAAUACGUUCAUCAAUUGACGUUACUCGCAGAAGAAGCACCGGCUAACUCCGUGCCAGCAGCCGCGGGUAAUACGGAGGGUGCAAGCGUUAAUCGGAAUUACUGGGCGUAAAGCGCACGCAGGCGGUUUGUUAAGUCAGAUGUGAAAUCCCCGGGGCUCAACCUGGGAACUGCAUUUGAAACUGGCAAGCUAGAGUCUCGUAGAGGGGGGUAGAAUUCCAGGUGUAGCGGUGAAAUGCGUAGAGAUCUGGAGGAAUACCGGUGGCGAAGGCGGCCCCCUGGACGAAGACUGACGCUCAGGUGCGAAAGCGUGGGGAGCAAACAGGAUUAG
rnacentral:rRNA from 1 species